rnacentral:rRNA from 1 species
GACGAACGCUGGCGGCGUGCUUAACACAUGCAAGUCAAACGAUGAAGCUGGAGCUUGCUCCGGUGGAUUAGUGGCGAACGGGUGAGUAACACGUGAGCAAUCUGCCCUUGACUCUGGGAUAACUGCGGGAAACUGUAGCUAAUACCGGAUACUUUCACUGGAAGGCAUCUUCUGGUGAAGAAAGAAUUUCGGUCAAGGAUGAGCUCGCGGCCUAUCAGCUGGUUGGUGAGGUAACGGCUCACCAAGGCGACGACGGGUAGCCGGCCUGAGAGGGUGACCGGCCACACUGGGACUGAGACACGGCCCAGACUCCUACGGGAGGCAGCAGUGGGGAAUAUUGCACAAUGGGCGCAAGCCUGAUGCAGCAACGCCGCGUGAGGGAUGAAGGCCUUCGGGUUGUAAACCUCUUUUAGCAGGGAAGGAGCGAAAGUGACGGUACCUGCAGAAAAAGCACCGGCUAACUACGUGCCAGCCGCCGCAGUAA